rnacentral:rRNA from 1 species
GACGAACGCUGGCGGCGUGCCUAAUACAUGCAAGUCGAGCGGACGAAUCGAAAGCUUGCUUUUGAUUCGUUAGCGGCGGACGGGUGAGUAACACGUGGGCAACCUGCCCUGUAGACGGGGAUAACACCGAGAAAUCGGUGCUAAUACCGGAUAACACGAAAUGUCGCAUGACGUUUCGUUGAAAGACGGCGCAAGCUGUCGCUACAGGAUGGGCCCGCGGCGCAUUAGCUAGUUGGUGAGGUAACGGCUCACCAAGGCGACGAUGCGUAGCCGACCUGAGAGGGUGAUCGGCCACACUGGGACUGAGACACGGCCCAGACUCCUACGGAAGGCAGCAGUAGGGAAUCUUCCGCAAUGGACGAAAGUCUGACGGAGCAACGCCGCGUGAGCGAAGAAGGCCUUCGGGUCGUAAAGCUCUGUUGUUAGGGAAGAACAAGUAACGCAGUAACUGGCGUUACCGUGACGGUACCUAACGAGAAAGCCACGGCUAACUACGUG